UCUGCCUACGGGACGCAGCAGUGGGGAAUAUUGGGCAAUGGGCGCAAGCCUGACCCAGCAACGCCGCGUGAAGGAAGAAGGCUUUCGGGUUGUAAACUUCUUUUCUCAGGGACGAAGAAAGUGACGGUACCUGAGGAAUAAGCCACGGCUAACUACGUGCCAGCAGCCGCGGUAAUACGUAGGUGGCAAGCGUUAUCCGGAUUUACUGGGUGUAAAGGGCGCGUAGGCGGGAUGGCAAGUCAGAUGUGAAAUCCGGGGGCUCAACCCCUGAACUGCAUUUGAAACUGUCGUUCUUGAGUACUGGA
rnacentral:rRNA from 1 species